rnacentral:rRNA from 1 species
AUACCAGACUCCUACGGGAGGCAGCAGUGAGGAAUAUUGGUCAAUGGGCGGAAGCCUGAACCAGCCAAGUCGCGUGAGGGAAGAAGGCCCUGCGGGUCGCAGACCUCUUUGGACGGGGAGCAAGGCCGCCGACGUGUCGGCGGAAGGAGAGUACCCGUAGAACAAGCAUCGGCUAACUCCGUGCCAGCAGCCGCGGUAAUACGGAGGAUGCGAGCGUUAUCCGGAUUUAUUGGGUUUAAAGGGUGCGCAGGCGGCACGGCAAGCCGGCGGUGAAAUCGCGGGGCUAAACCCCGCCCAGCCGUCGGAACUGGCGGGCUAGAGUGGGCGAGAAGUGCGCGGAAUGCGUGGUGUAGCGGUGAAAUGCAUAGAUAUCACGCAGAACUCCGAUUGCGAAGGCAGCGUACCGGCGCCCAACUGACGCUGAAGCACGAAGGCGUGGGUAUCGAACAGGAUUAGAUACCCCAGUAAC